rnacentral:tRNA from 1 species
GGCAUGGUGGUACAGCGGAUAGCACUGUUGCCUCGCAACAAGAAGGUCCCGGGUUAGAGUCCCGGCCUGGGCC